GCGCACCAGUCGCGAAUACUUUACAAUGUGCGAAAGCACGAUAAGGGAACUCUGAGUGCCUCCUAAGGAGGCUGUUCAGGUGCCUAAAAGCACCUGAAGGAAGGGCUGGGUAAGACCGGUGCCAGCCGCCGCGGUAACACCGGCAGCCCAAGUGGUAGCCACGUUUAUUGGGUCUAAAGCGUCCGUAGCCGGCUGGGUAAGUUCCUUGGGAAAUUUGGCUGCUUAACAGUCAAGCUUUCAGGGAAUACUGCCCGGCUUGGGGACCGGGAGAGGUCAGAGGUACUCCAGGGGUAGGGGUGAAAUCCAUUAAUCCUUGGGGGACCACCGGUAGCGAAGGCGUCUGACCAGACCGGGUCCGACGGUGAGGGACGAAGGCUAGGGGCGCGAACCGGAUUAGAUA
rnacentral:rRNA from 1 species